UACGAAGGGGGCGAGCGUUGUUCGGAUUUACUGGGCGUAAAGGGCGCGCAGGCGGCGGAUCAAGUCAGACGUGAAAGCCCCGGGCUUAACCUGGGAACUGCAUUUGUGACUGGCGAGCUAGAGUAUGGCAGAGGGGGGUAGAAUUCCACGUGUAGCAGUGAAAUGCGUAGAGAUGUGGAGGAAUACCGAUGGCGAAGGCAGCCCCCUGGGCCAAUACUGACGCUCAUGCACGAAAGCGUGGGGAGCAAACAGG
rnacentral:rRNA from 1 species